CCCUCGGGUGGGGAAUAACUCUUCGAAAGGAGAGCUAAUGCCGACAUGUGCAUCACUUUCGCAAGUGAGUGAUGGAAAGCCGUGCCGUGGGUGCGGCGCCCAAGGAUGAGCUCACGUCCUAUCAGCUUGUUGGCGGGGUAACGGCCCACCAAGGCUGCGACGGGUAGCUGGUCUGAGAGGACGACCAGCCACACUGGCACUGCGACACGGCCCAA
rnacentral:rRNA from 1 species